AACGUUAUAACUUGCAAAAUUCGAUUAUCGAUAUUACGGCAAACAUUUCAGUCGCUAUCGUAUGAACUUUUUUUCUUAUAAAACUAUUGUUUCGUAUACUUCAAGAUCUUGGGAAAAAUUCAAGGUUCUUUUUAGAAUGUAAAUCUUCCAAAGCCAGAAGAAAUCAUAUUCCUCUUGCACUAUUUUUCAACGUUGAUACCAAUUUUAUUUGUAAUGUAAAAAAUAUUACAAAAAAAAAGUAAUCAUCAAAAAAAGGAGUGAAUACAAAGCUGCUCCAUAUUCCAAGCUGUGAAGGCAUCACGAUCUAUUGUUCACGAUGAAUCAACCAGGAAAAAGAAUAAAAUUGUGGGAGCAUUACCAUCAUUGAUGUUACAUUAAUGAGGAGACUCGUAUUAUUUAUCAAACACAUAACGAUCUUUUAAUGGAUUUCUGACAAAACAGAUUGCCAUUUGCCAAGCAUUCUUCAGACAUUAUCCGAAUCCUUAUGCGAUUCACGUUUUAUCGGAGAAUAUCCUGUAUCGAGAAGUCGGCGGCACAAAUCUCUUCAGCACAAGUAUUUUUUUGCGAAAGAGUUACCGCUUCGUUACCAAAACGGAUUCGGAAACUAACGAACGUAGUUUUUCCAAUAAUCUUUCGUGUGGAUAGAUGUUGACAGAACUAUUAGACUACGUUUCGCAUUUUCCGCACUUCUAACAUCAGAAUCCAAGAUAAUUGACGCAGAUAUUAGGAACCUUGCAACCAAAAAUAUGCAUAUUUUAAAAUUUGUAAGGUACAAGAUAUAACUUUCUUUGACUUCUUGAUCGAUUGGUGCUUUUAUCGUUGCCACAUCAAGCAUCCAUCUCAAGGCAGCAACAAAAAUACAUUUGAAGAUAAACUAUUUGGAAUAAAUUUAUGAGCGAAUUUAAGUACUAAUCCUCGUGAAAAACAUUGUCGAUCAAUUCGCGAUAGAUUAGUCUCGUUAAGAGGGAACCUCGAUCAUAGAAAAUUAGUAGUCAUCACAGAAACGACCGAAUAUAUACCCAAUCGCGGCGAUCCCGAUAAAACUCUGAUGACUCAUCGUGCCAACGUCCAAUCGCCUUUCAAUUGCGAUCUCACGGGUCGAAUAAUCAGGGGAGUCUGUUAUGCACGAACAAUCAAGAACAGUAUAGAUAAAGAAGGAAAAAAAAAGAAAAAAAACAUUGCAAAUUUUGCACUUGUCUUGAAAGCAGUCAAAACUAAUCGUCGAUAUAUAAAAGUUAUAAACGAGUGAAUUGUAAGACGAUUUUGCUGCGUAAAAAUUUCUUUAUGUGCUCGCGCAACAGAAUGAAAGGUUUUCAAGAAAGCCAAGAACCAUCGGUUGACUUCAUAAUGCAACUGUAUGUAAUUUAUGGGUUGCUAUACUUUCUCGUCCUUGUGUUCGACUAUUUUUUAUGGACGAGUAAAAAUAUUGGCUUCCCCCUUUUCAGAAUUUCGUCAAUAAAUUACGCGGCUACAUGAUAAACAGCUGCAAACUUUGAACUUCCUAUGUAUUUCUAUCGAAACAUAAUUUUACAAUAAUUA